UGGUUGUCCAGCAACAAAAUUACUAAAAUUGGAAUGAUAGAUUGAAUAUUCACAUGACUCCUGAAUAAGGAAAACAUGCAAAUUUGUGAAGUGUUUCAUAUUUAU
ensembl:snRNA U6 U6 spliceosomal RNA